AUGGGAACGCGAAGAACCUUACCUAGACUUGACAUCUCCUGAAUAGUGUAGAGAUACAUGAAGCCCUUCGGGGCAGGAAGACAGGUGGUGCAUGGUUGUCGUCAGCUCGUGUCGUGAGAUGUCGGGUUAAGUCCCGCAACGAGCGCAACCCUUAUUACUAGUUGCUACCAUUAAGUUGAGCACUCUAGUGAGACUGCCCGGGUUAACCGGGAGGAAGGCGGGGAUGACGUCAAAUCAUCAUGCCCCUUAUGUCUAGGGCAACACACGUGCUACAAUGGUGAGUACAGAUAGAUGCGAUACCGCAAGGUGGAGCCAAACUCUAAAACUCAUCCCAGUUCGGAUUGUAGGCUGCAACUCGCCUACAUGAAGUUGGAGUUGCUAGUAAUCGCGAAUCAGAAUGCUACGGUGAAUACGUUCCCGGGUCUUGUACACACCG
rnacentral:rRNA from 1 species